UCCUUGCCCCCUUUCCCCUCACGGUUCCCGCCCUUUCCUCUCCCCCUUUCCCCUCACGGUUCCCGCCCUUUCCUUGCCCCCUUUCCCCUCACGGUUCCGCCCUUUCCUCGCCCCCUUUCCCCUCACGGUUCCGCCCUUUCCUUGCCCCCUUUCCCCUCACGGUUCCGCCCUUUCCUUGCCCCCUUUCCCCUCACGGUUCGGCCUUCGGGAACGGGGCAGGAGGAGGAGGAGGGAGGGAGGAAGAGGCCGAGCAGCAGCAGCAGCAGCAGCAGCAGAAGAGCAGAGGGAGAAUCUGGUGGCCCUGGCGCUCCCUGAAGCCGCCGCAGCCCCGGGAGCAUCGCCCCCCAUCCCGCAGAAAUGAGGCAUCGUAUGAGAGAAAAAGCUGCUACUGUUUUAACCAAAGCUCCAUGUGGCUGGACAGAACUACUGUCAAUAUGCUUUUGCUCGAUGGAAUUGGCUGAAACUGGGCCUGAGACUGUCUUAGAGUGUGUUGAGACAUGAAGUUUCCUGGGGCUGCUGUGUGGACAGCGAGCUGCUGGCAUGGAUGCAUUGCCAGAGCCCUGCACUGGGGCUGCUGCUGCUGAAAUGAACAGCUCACGGCGCUGUUCAGGCGUGGCCCCGUUCCGCUCGUGUCUGUGUAUAAACGGCCACGCCAAGCGCUGCCCCUCUGUGAGCAGAACGUGAGACUAGGAUAGAAAAGGAAAUCUUGGAAAAACUCGGGCAGCGGAGGCCCAGGUUGUUAAACAGGAGGAAUGUAUCAUCCCCUCUUUGUCUGCAUCUGAUGUCUUUGUAAGUAAUCUUUGUCUAGGGGCUUCCUGGGUGACAAAAAUGGGAAAUCAUUUAUCUAAAACAGAAUGGGACGUUUUUUACCGGCUUGAGAAAAUAUUCCAGGAUAAAAGACGUUCAGAUAUCUCAAAAAAUAAACUGAAAGUCUUAAUAGUCUGGGUAAAAGCAAACACUCAAAAUAUAGACUUGCAGUCUGCUUUUACCUUUGUUUUUUGGGAUCAAAUGAGCUAGAAAAACCUAUAAUCUGUUCUCUCUCCAAAAGGACGAGACAGGGAGCAGACUCGUGCCUGUUUCCCGGGCUUUGUUAGAGUGUUUUAAACAAACUGACUGUAACACAGACAUUUCCAAACAACAGAACAAAGUACCUUGCUCAGACCCUUGAAAUCCAA